GCCAUGCCGCGUGAAGGAAGACGGCCUUAUGGGUUGUAAACUUCUUUUAUACAGGAAGAAACCUUUCCACGUGUGGAAAGCUGACGGUACUGUAAGAAUAAGGAUCGGCUAACUCCGUGCCAGCAGCCGCGGUAAUACGGAGGAUCCAAGCGUUAUCCGGAAUUAUUGGGUUUAAAGGGUCCGCAGGCUGUUUGUUAAGUCAGAGGUGAAAUCCUGCCGCUCAACGGUAGAACUGCCUUUGAUACUGGCAAACUUGAGUUAUUGUGAAGUAGUUAGAAUGUGUAGUGUAGCGGUGAAAUGCAUAGAUAUUACACAGAAUACCGAUUGCGAAAGCAGAUUACUAACAAUGUACUGACGCUGAGGGACGAAAGCGUGGGUAGCGAACAGGAUUAGAUACCCUGGUAGUCCACGCCGUAAACGAUGGUCACUAGCUGUUUGAUGUACAUUGGUACAUUGAGUGGCUAAGCGAAAGUGAUAAGUGACCCACCUGGGGAGUACGCUCGCAAGAGUGAAACUCAAAGGAAUUGACGGGGGCCCGCACAAGCGGUGGAGCAUGUGGUUUAAUUCGAUGAUACGCGAGGAACCUUACCAGGACUUAAAUGUAAGUUGCAUGAUUCAGAAAUGGAUCUUUCUUCGGACUACUUACAAGGUGCUGCAUGGUUGUCGUCAGCUCGUGCCGUGAGGUGUCAGGUUAAGUCCUAUAACGAGCGCAACCCCUAUCGUUAGUUGCCAUCAAGUAAAGUUGGGAACUCUAGCGAAACUGCCGGUGCAAACCGUGAGGAAGGUGGGGAUGACGUCAAAUCAUCACGGCCCUUACGUUCUGGGCUACACACGUGCUACAAUGGCCGGUACAGAAAGCAGCCACUAUGCGAAUAGGAGCUAAUCUUCAAAGCCGGUCUCAGUUCGGAUCGCAGUCUGCAACUCGACUGCGUGAAGCUGGAAUCGCUAGUAAUCGGAUAUCAGCCAUGAUCCGGUGAAUACGUUCCCGGGCCUUGUACACACCGCCCGUCAAGCCAUGGAAGCUGGGGGUACCUAAAGUCGGUGACCGAAAGGAGCCGCCUAGGGUAAAACUAGUAACUGGGGCUAAGUCGUAACAAGGUAGCCGUACCGGAAGGUGCGGCUGGAAUACCUCCUUUCU
rnacentral:rRNA from 1 species